GACGAACGCUGGCGGCGUGCUUAACACAUGCAAGUCGAACGGAAAGGCCCUGCUUUUGUGGGGUGCUCGAGUGGCGAACGGGUGAGUAACACGUGAGUCUCCUGCCCUUGACUUUGGAAUAACUUCAGGAAACUGGGGAUAAUACCGGAUAGGAGCUCCUGCUGCAUGGUGGGGGUUGGAAAGUUUCGGCGGUGGGGGAUGGACUCGCGGCUUAUCAGCUGGUUGGUGGGGUAGUGGCUUACCAAGGCUUUGACGGGUAGCCGGCCUGAGAGGUCGGCCGGCCUCAAUAGGACUGAGAGACGGACCAGACUCCUACGGGAGGCAGUAGUGGGGAAUAUUGCACAGUGGGCGGAAGCCUGAUGCGGAAACGCCGCGUGCGGGAUGACGGCCUUCGGGUUGUAAACCGCUGUCGCCUGUGACGAAGCGUGAGUGACGGUAAUGGGUAAAGAAGCACCGGCUAACUACGUG
rnacentral:rRNA from 1 species